CUGAGAUUUUUUUUUUUUAAGAAGCCUAAAAUAAUAAGUCUACCACUGUGACAUUCUCUGGGCUUGAGCCAUUUUUCAUAACGCAGCUGAUACUCUUUUGUGCAGCUAUGUCGACUAAACAAGAUGAAUAACGAGAAAAGUCUGCAGAAACUAAGCUUCAAGAUUUUCUCAUCUCUACAAAAGUUACCAGGAAUGGGAGAUGCUCUUUAAAGCAGAGAUCAGAGCAGCACUUUUGAUUACACUACUUUGAAAGUCAGUGUUACCCUUUCUGUAAGUUAAACUUUGUAGCUGAUGGAGUUGCACAGGUGGCGUUUAUAGGACUUGGGAUGAACACUGCCCUUUGGACAUAGAGCACUUUGAAAUAUUUAAACAGAACUUUUCUCGCACCUCAAGAGUUCGACUUUAACUCAGACACCAGCAGCAGCAGGCUGGACCUCAACAAAGACCCAGGAGACAAGUGGCCACGGCUUCUCCACUUUAGGUGAUUGGAAGAUUUUGGUAAGUUUGACACUCCAAUCUAAAAAGAAAGAAAAUAACAGCAACUGUGUGUUUAGGACAGAUUGGAAGGGAGAGGGGCAGCAACUGUGUGUUUAGGACAGAUUGGAAGGGAGAGGGGGGAAAAAUCAGGAACUGCACACACACACACACAUACACACACUUUAAUUAUCUGUGCAGACACACACACAUACGUGUACACACGCAAACAUUGUUUAAUUAUCUAUGCAGACAAACAUAAAUGUAAGCAAACAUAAAAGGAUGCAUAUGAGUGCAUGAACACGUGUACAUAUAUACCUUUAUAUGCUUUAUACUUGAGAAAGAGGUAUAUAUAUAUAUAUAUAUAUAUAUAUAUAUAUAAAUACACACACACACACACACACACACACAUAUAUAUAUUUAUCUCUCUCUCUCUCUAUAUAUAUGCAUAUACAUAUAUGUACAUACACACAAAUGUAUGCUUUUAUUUAUGUGUGUAUGUGUAUAUGUAUAUAUUUAUGUAUACAUAUACAUAUAGAAAUAUUCAAAUAUACCCAGACACUCUUGAUUACAAAUUGAACAACGUAUCAUUAACUCUUUUCAUUUUAACACCUAGUGAUGCAGAGGAAGCUAACUUCAUAGCAAACAGUGUAAGCGAUAAGUUAUUUUAUGAUGCAUUGUGUAAUAAGCAACUUACAUUAUGAUGACAGAUUCGAUGAAGCGGAAGGAAGGGGAUAGAUUGAUAUAAACAGAGAGAGGGGCACAGAAAGAGGGAGAUGGACAGACAAACAGAUAGAUAGAUAGAUAGAUAGAUAGAUAGAUAGAUAGAUAGAUGGGAUGAUAGAUAGAUAGACAGAGAGAUAGAUAGAUAGAUAGAUAGAUAGAUAGAGAGAUAGAUACAGACAGAGAGAUAGAUAGAUAGAUAGAUAGAUAGAUGGGAUGAUAGAUAGAUAGACAGAGAGAUAGAUAGAUAGAUAGAUAGAUAGAUAGAUAGAUAGAUAGAUAGAUAGAGAGAUAGAUACAGACAGAGAGAUAGAUAGAUAGAUAGACAGAGAGAUAGAUAAAUAGAUAGAUAGAUAGAUAGAUACAGAGAUAGAUAGAUAGAUAGAUAGAUAGACAGAGAGAUAGAUAAAUAGAUAGAUAGAUAGAUAGAUGGGAUGAUAGAUACAACAAUAGAUAGAUAGAUAGAUAGAUACAGAGAUAGAUACAGAGAUAGAUAGAUAGAUAGAUAGAUAGAUACAACAAUAGAUAGAUAGAUACAGAGAUAGAUACAGAGAUAGAGAGAUAGAUAGAUAGAUAGAUAGAUGGGAUGAUAGAUGGAUAGAUAGACUCCUGACAAAAGUUACAUGUUUCAUAGAAGCUUAGAAAACACUCAAAGAGAUUCAAACCAUUGUAUGGAAUUAUUUAAAUAUAUUUGUAUUCCAAGGCAUUUCCUAUAUUUAAUCAAUGUGUUUUGUACAAGUAUAUUAUCUAUAGGAGGCUGUAUAGAUCCAUCAUUUUUUAUUCAUUCUCCUCCUUCCCUUUAAUGAGCAAUGAAGAUUCCACUGCUGAGAAAUGCAUUUUGUAUUUUAAUAACACGAACCCUCCUCCCAGCAAGCAAUGCAGAAUAGCUCCAACCCUUUCCUUGCCAGAGGGCUGUGAAUGCAAUGCAGAAAGGGAUUAUGUCAUCGAAGAGGGUACCUGAUAGCAAGGGGGAUCAGUGAGAAUUGUUCUGUAAUUGAAGCAUAAAAUGCAACGUUUGCCCCAUUGGUUAGCUAGGUGAAUUAACACACACUGGAACUCAACAGCACUUGACCUUUGCCAUUAUGUUUGCUCAAAUGUUUGCCUAAAACACAAUCGGCCCUGACAAGGGAGCAUGAUACCGUGUGACACUGCCUAUUCAAUAGAUAGAUGUUCACUGCCACACAGAGCCCACACCAGCAUCUCAAACAGUUAGGUAUUUGUACAAGGCUGGGAAUUACCAUAUGGGGGCCAGGGACUCCUAAAAACUACUACAGAGACUGAUCUGAGCUCCAUCACAGUAAUCUGUCUGCUCCCCCACAAGAGACAGGCUAGGGAAACGGCAUUAGGAAUCAAUACAUAGAUUGCUGAUCGUUAGAGAUACUUAUUCAGAGAAAGUGGGGAGCCAGCACAGGCAGAGGAGACAUGUAUACAAAAAUCAAUACAUAUAUUUAAACAUAUAUAUCUAGAACAAUAAACAUCCAGACAGAUAUAUCUAGCACAAUAUACAUCAAGACACAUAUCUAGCACAAUAUACAUCCAGACAUAUAUCUAGUACAAUAUACAGCCAGACAGAUAUACCUAGUACAAUAUACAGCCAGACAUAUAUACCAAGCACAAUAUACAUCCAGACAUAUAUACCUAGUAUAAUAUACACCUGUAGCGAUAUACCUAGCACAAUAUACAGCUAUACAGAUAUACCUAUCACAAAAUACAGCCAGACAUAUAUACCUAUCACAAAAUACAGCCAGACAUAUAUCUAGUACAAUAUACAGCCAGACAUAUCUACCAAGCACAAUAUACAGCCAGACAUAUAUACCUAGUAUAAUAUACAGAUAUACAGAUAUAUCUAGCACAAUAUACAUCCAGACAUAUAUCUAGUACAAUAUACAGCCAGACAGAUAUACCUAGUACAAUAUACAGCCAGACAUAUAUACCAAGCACAAUAUACAGCCAGACAUAUAUACCUAGUAUAAUAUACAGCCAGACAUAUAUACCAAGCACAAUAUACAGCCAGACAUAUAUACCAAGCACAAUAUACAGAUAUACAGAUAUAUCUAGCACAAUAUACAUCCAGACAUAUAUCUAGUACAAUAUACAGCCAGACAGAUAUAACUAGUACAAUAUACAGCCAGACAUAUAUACCUAGCACAAUAUACAGCCAGACAUUUAUACCAAGCACAAUAUACAGCCAGACAUAUAUACCAAGCACAAUAUACAGCCAGACAUAUAUACCUAGUAUAAUAUACAGAUAUACAGAUAUACCUAGCACAAUAUACAUCCAGACAUAUAUCUAGUACAAUAUACAGCCAGACAGAUAUAACUAGUACAAUAUACAGCCAGACAUAUAUACCUAGCACAAUAUACAGCUAUACAGAUAUACCUAGUACAAUAUACAGCCAGACAUAUAUACCUAGUAUAAUAUACAGAUAUACAGAUAUACCUAGCACAAUAUACAGCCAGACAUAUACCAAGCACAAUAUGCAACCAAACUUAUAUACAAAGGACAGCCAGACAGAUACAUCAAGGGCUACACACACACACACACACACACACACACUACACUACACAUCCAGACAUAUAUACACAGGACAGUUCUCAGACUGACAUAUAUAUAAGGCAAAAUAUAAGAUAGAUAGAUAGAUAGAUAGAUAGAUAGAAAAUUUCUCAUUGGCUGAGUUAGAGAUAGUUUUUUGCACCGCUUGUCUGGCCUACAUUUUGCAAUUUACUAAAACACAUGCUGUUUUGGAAAUAGUAUGUUCAAUGUGUGAUGAAAAUUCUGACAAUUUUUUAUGAAGUAAACAUAACAUUAAUUAGAUUGAUGGUAAUAUGUGGCACAAUUCUAUUUCUAUGUAUAUUCAAGGUAACAAUGUAGAAAAUGUCUCAAAAGGCAUUGUGGGUACUUUAGGAGAAAUAUAAAUUUUUACCAUAGAAAGAGAUGCAUUUUACAGUACAGAGCAAACUGUAGGCAUGCUUAAAAUUUUUUUCAAUAUACUGAAUUCUUAUUUAACUCCUAUAAUGAAUAAUAAAAAUAGGCCCCUGUAGCACUAAAUAUUACCCACUUCUACAGUUCAUAAUAAAACCCUCCCACAAACAGAAUUCUAGAGCAAUUGGCCAUUAGAUUAGGAAUACAUCUCAGACAUUACUUGUCUGAGACCUAUAUAAUAGAUUCUAGAAAUAUGACAUUAACCCCUUAAGGACACACGACAUGUGUGACAUGUCACGAUUCCCUUUUAUUCCAGAAGUUUGGUCCUUAAGGGGUUAAACAUAAUUUAAGAGUCAUAGCCUAAGCAAAUGUUUCUUCUAUGUUAAACAAUAACAAAAUAAUUAUUCUAAUAUUUGGCACACAUCAAUACACACUCAUAUUGGGUUUACAUCUAUCUAUGUAUCUGUCUGUCUAUCUGUCUGUUUGUCUAAUAAAUAAUAGUGGGAUGUUCUAUUGCUUGUCUUUAAAUCUUUAAUUUCUCACAGAGGUAGAAUGCAAUCCAUGUUCUGUGACAUAGACUGGUUGUUAACAGGAAAUAAAAAAGUUUCAAUAAUUUAACAUUUACAAUAUGUAAACUAUAAAUAGAAUUCUGGAUUUGUUUCUGGGGCACAUUCUAGAAUAGAGAGUGCCUAAAACAGAAAAACAAAGCAGUCUAUUUAAUUUUGAAAUGCACAUGAUUCUUAAUAAUACAAAUAUGCACUUCUCACCUCUCCCUGCUUGGUAGGAUGUUUGAAAAUGAUCUACACAGGGAGCAAUCCCUUUCUUUAAAACUGCACAGCACAAGCUCCUGUUUACUUGUAAUGGUCAGGGCAGAACCCAG